UGAUGUUGUGAUGAUUGGGAAAAUGUUCAACUGCUCUGAGUUGGCUGAAUGAAACUACCCAUCUGAACAGAU